CAUGGCGGUCAUAGCCGACGGGAAACUCCUGUACCCAUAUCGAACACAGAAGAUAAGCCGUCACACGUCGUGUACUGUACUAAGGUACGAGAGUCCUUGGGAACUGCAUGAAGCUGCCAUGA
rnacentral:rRNA from 1 species